CGCAAAGAAAGAAGCAUAGGACACUUUGAGUGGUGAUGAUAAGAAUUAGUGUCGGCAUUUCAAGGUACACUUUAUCGCUUUCUAGACUUAACAUGAGUAGUUUGAUGGUGUGUGCAAAUUCUAUAUCAUAAAUUCAUUGAAAUACAUGUCAUUUUUGAAUCAAAUUAGGACUUAACCAAUUGUGAGGAGGCCUUCCAUUGUACACUAAAAUGCGGGAAACCGAACAUUAUUUCAACUCAUUCUUAUCAUGCUAAAUC
rnacentral:lncRNA from 1 species